rnacentral:tRNA from 2 species
GCCAACCUAGCUCAGGGGUAGAGCAGCGGUUUCGUAAACCGCAGGUCGUGGGUUCAAAUCCCAUGGUUGGCU